UACCGUAUAGCUCAGUUGGAAGAGUGUCGAGCUAGCAUUUCGAAGGUCACGUGUUCGAAACCCAGCCGCGGUAG
rnacentral:tRNA from 1 species